rnacentral:rRNA from 1 species
AACGUAGGUGGCAAGCGUUAUCCGGAUUCACUGGGCGUAAAGCGCAUGCAGGUGGCACAGUAAGUAGGGCAUGAAAACUCCUGGCUUAACUGGGAGAGGCUGUCCUAGACUGCUGAGCUUGAGGAUGGGAGAGGGAAGUGGAAUUGCCGGUGUAUUGGUGAAAUGCGUAGAGAUCGGCAGGAACACCCGUGGCGAAAGCGGCUUCCUGGCCCAUUCCUGACACUCAGAUGCGAAAGCUAGGGAGCGAACGGG